AGACAGGGUUUCAUCAUGUUGGCCAGGCUGACCUCGAACUCCUGACCUUGUGAUCCGCCCACCUCGGCCUCCCAAAAUUGCUGGGAUUACAGGCAUGAACCACCACGCCCGGCUCCAGAAAAGCUUUUAAACUGACAAACAACUUCAGCAAAGUUUUAGAAUACAAAAUAAAUGCACAAAAAUCAGUAACAUCUCUGUACAUCAACAAUAUUGAAGCCAAAAGCCAAAUCAAAAACAAUCCUAUUUGCCACAAAAAGAAUCAAAUAUCCAGAAAUAUAGCUAACCAGGGAGGUGAAAGAUCUCUAUGACAAGAAUUUUAAAACUGCUUCAAAAAGUAAGAGAUGAUACAAACAAAUGGAAAACCCGUUUAUGCUCAUGAAUAGAAAAGGUAUCAUUAAAAUGGCCAAACUGCCCAAAGAAAUGUACAGACUUAAUUCUGUUUCUGCCAAACUACCAAAAACAUUCUUAACGGGACUAAAAAUAACUAUUUUAAAAUAAAUGUGGAACUAAAAGAGAGCCUAAAUACCCAAGGCAUUCCUAAACAAAAAGAACAAAACUGGAAGCAGUACAUUACCUGACUUCAAACUAUACCACAGGGCUACAGUAACCAAAGCAGCAUGGUACUGUUAUAGAAACAAACUCAUAGACAAAUGCAACAGAAUAGAGAGCCCAGAAAUAAUGCCACACACCUACAACCAUCUGAUCUUCAACAAAGCUUACAAGAGAAAUGUAAAAAAAAAUUUCUAUUUAAUAAAUUUGCUAAAAUAACUAGCUAAUACUACGUAGAAAACUGAAACUGGAUGCUUUUCUUACACCAUAUACAAAAAUCAACUCAAAGUGAAUUAAAGUCUUAAACUUAAAAUGUAAAAUUAUUUUUAAAAAAACUUUGGAAGGUACCUAGGAAAUCAUUCUAGACAUAAGAACCAGAAGAUUUCAUGAUGGAGAUACCAAAAGCAAUUGCAACAAAAGGAAAAAUUGACAAAUGGGACCUAAUUAAACUACAGAGCUUCUGCACAGCAAAGAAAACUAUGAACAGACUAACUAAACAAGACAACCAGCCAGGCGCUGUGACACUGUAGCACACAUAGCCAUGGUGGUUAUCUUGGUUUAUCCCUAGACAGUACUGAAACCCAGGAUCAGAAAAAAAAAACAAAAACAACAAAAUGAAGUGUGGCUGAGGAAAAAUCACCCACAUUUUUCGAAAGGAAAAACUUGACCUAAAAACAUUCUGAAAAAGUCUCUGGCUGGGUGUGGUGGCUCAUGCCUAUAAUCUCAGCACUUUGGGAGGCCGAGGCAGGUGGAUCUCCUGAGGUCGGCAGUUUGAGAACAGCGUGACCAACAU
rnacentral:lncRNA from 10 species